rnacentral:lncRNA from 1 species
GGUCACCAAUGUCUAACAAAGGUGACUCUAAAUAUUUAGAAGUUACUAUCAACCAAAACCAAUCUUAAAAGCCACUAUCAAAAGAAAUUAAAGUUUUAUAAAUUUUAUAGUAAUCUUUUUAAACAACCUCUUUUUAAGAUAAUAAUCAAAUUAUAUUCUACAACCAACUAAAAUCUACUAACAUGGCUCUCACCAUAUUACUUAAUAAAUUAUAUAUUAAGUACAUAAUUAUAUUAUUUUCGUAUAGUAGCCAAACCACAACACGAUACCAUUACAUUAUUACAAAAUUUUGUAUAUACUUAGCACACCUAAUAAUCCAAAUAGUAUCAAAUUUGAACCGUAGAUGUUAUAACAAUUGUACAAACUAGUCAAAAUUAUUAGCCCUAAUUAUAUUAUAUAAAAUCCAAAUCACCAAUACAAACCCUGACUUUGAACAACAAUUGCUAAGUUCCUAAAAAAUCCUACAAAAACAAUCCUUAUAAUUCCAGAAAGAGCUUCAAGCUAGCUGUCAAUUCCUAAUCUCUGAUCUUCAAAUAAAACCUUAAUUUUCUCUAGGUGAUUGUUUUAGUGAUCAGAGCUCUGAUUUCAAUCCCAUCUCACAAAUGGUCGAUCCUUGGAUAUCAAUCU